GAUGAACGCUGGCGGCGUGCCUAAUACAUGCAAGUCGAGCGAACAGACGAGGAGCUUGCUCCUCUGACGUUAGCGGCGGACGGGUGAGUAACACGUGGAUAACCUACCUUUAAGACUGGGAUAACUUCGGGAAACCGGAGCUAAUACCGGAUAAUAUAUUGAACCGCAUGGUUCAAUAGUGAAAGACGGUUUUGCUGUCACUUAUAGAUGGAUCCGCGCCGCAUUAGCUAGUUGGUAAGGUAACGGCUUACCAAGGCGACGAUGCGUAGCCGACCUGAGAGGGUGAUAGGCCACACUGGAACUGAGACACGGUCCAGACUCCUACGGGAGGCAGCAGUAGGGAAUCUUCCGCAAUGGGCGAAAGCCUGACGGAGCAACGCCGCGUGAGUGAUGAAGGUCUUCGGAUCGUAAAACUCUGUUAUUAGGGAAGAACAAAUGUGUAAGUAACUAUGCACGUCUUGACGGUACCUAAUCAGAAAGCCACGGCUAACUACGUG
rnacentral:rRNA from 1 species